rnacentral:lncRNA from 1 species
CCAGUUUGCAGUUUGCAGGGAUGGUCUAACACCUCCCAUGACGGCGGGAUCUGUGGAUUGUUCUUGGCUGAAACUAAAACCGGGUCCCCUUUUUAUAACCUGUAUUCAUUUCACAGACAUGAUCCUCAGUGCUGUUGCCUGUAAAGAAAGCGCAGUGAUGCCAACCCUCAAGAUUAUUUACAAGGCGAAGAGCCCAUCCACAGGGAAAAUCUCUGCCAGACUGAAGCGCUCCGCCACCUCUGCUCUUGUGCUUAUUUGCCGGACAACCUCACAGGCUGGUGCAACACUCUCCCUCUUUUCAGCCACAGGACGAAAGAGUCACGCUCCCAUACGUGACACCACCUCCAGGGAGAGCAGAGUUUUGAGCGAUGCCUGGUGCACUAGUUAGGACUUCACCUCUUCUCCCCGGUUGAAGGACGCCUGUGAGCUGGACUCAUGGUACCUAUAGAAAUACAUAGUUUUAAAAAUGCAUAAAUGGAACCAUACUAUGUAUGUCAUUCUGAAACUUCAUUUUUCACCAUCCAAUGUGCCUUGUGUGGAUCUUUCCCUGAUUCUUUGUAAUCAAGCAACCCAAGUCCGUUUCAGAUCGGUGUGGGAAAGGGUGCAGUGUUCAGUAGAUGCUGUUGGGAUAGCUGACUAUCCAUUUGGAAGAGUUACAGUGAGAUAACGAACGUAAAACCCAGGCUACUUCGGAUUUGAACUGCAACUCUUUCCCAAGUCUUCGGCCUGCCGGCCUCCUCCGUCAGAUUUUGGGCUCAUCAAACCACCACAAUCACACGAGCCAAUUCCUUAAAU